rnacentral:rRNA from 1 species
UUCCUUGGAAAAGGACAGCUGAGAGGGUGAAACUCCCGUCCGCCUGGUAGAAUGAGUCUUUGUCAACGAGUCGAGUUGUUUGGGAUUGCAGCUCUAAUUUGGUGGUAAAUUCCAUCUAAAGCUAAAUAUUGGUGGGAGACCGAUAGCGUACAAGUACCGUGAGGGAAAGAUGCGAAGAACUUUGAAAAGAAAAUUAAAGAGUACCUGAAAUUGCUGAAACGGAAGCGAAGGAAACCAGUGUUUGUUGGUUCAUAUUUCCUUGGCCACUUGUGGUUUGGGCG